rnacentral:rRNA from 1 species
UACAGAGGGUGCAAGCGUUAAUCGGAAUUAUUGGGCGUAAAGGGUGCGUAGGUGGUUUGAUAAGUUAGGUGUGAAAUUCCUGGGCUUAACCUGGGAACUGCGCCUAAUACUGUUAAGCUAGAGUACUGUAGAGGAAGGUGGAAUUUCCGGUGUAGCGGUGAAAUGCGUAGAUAUCGGAAGGAACAUCAGUGGCGAAGGCGACUUUCUGGACAGAUACUGACACUGAGGCACGAAAGCGUGGGGAGCAAACAGG